rnacentral:lncRNA from 1 species
GCUACCAGAGACACCCACUGUCACACUGGAGCCUGCUUCUGACCAAAACAUCCUCUGUCAAGCUAUAGACUGCUUCUGACCUCAGGUUUGCCAUUCUGAGCACAUAACAAAAAUAAAACAAGAAAAAGCAUAAGCAUUCUUCUACAAAUAGUUUCUGGCUUUCAACCAAACAUGAGAUACACAAAGAGCCAAGAAGAAAACAACCUGUUUUCAAUAGAUAAAGCAAACAACAUAACUAGACCUAAAGAUGUGUCUGUGAGUCGGGACUAGGAUUAAUACAUACAUUUAAUACAUGUAAUAUUUAUUUAUUUCAUUGUAUGCAAUUUUUAGACUUGAAAAGAGAUCAAACAUUACCAAAAGAAACAAACCACAAACCAACAAUAUGAGCAACAGAAGA